rnacentral:SRP_RNA from 1 species
GUCAGGCAUGGUGGUGCGUGUGUAGUCCCAGUUAUUCAGAAGGCUGUGUCGCGGAUCACUUGAGGCCAGGUAUUCUGGGCUGUAGUGUCCUAUGUCAAUUGAGUGUCUGCACUCAGCUCAGCAAGGAUCUCUAACCAGCAUCUUGGAAGCUGGGGAACACUGGGAUACCUAAGAAGGGGUGAACCAGCUCAGUUCUGAAAUGGAGCAGGUCAAAACUCCCAUGCUGAUAGAUGAUGGGAUCAGGCUUGUCAAUAGCCACUGCACUCCAGCCUGGGCAGCACUGCAAGAUACCAU